rnacentral:rRNA from 1 species
GAUGAACGCUGGCGGCGUGCUAAUACAUGCAAGUAGAACGCUGAAGGAAGGAGCUUGCUCUUUCCGGAUGAGUUGCGAACGGGUGAGUAACGCGUAGGUAACCUGCCUGGUAGCGGGGGAUAACUAUUGGAAACGAUAGCUAAUACCGCAUAACAGUAGAUGUUGCAUGACAUUUACUUGAAAGGUGCAAUUGCAUCACUACCAGAUGGACCUGCGUUGUAUUAGCUAGUUGGUGAGGUAACGGCUCACCAAGGCGACGAUACAUAGCCGACCUGAGAGGGUGAUCGGCCACACUGGGACUGAGACACGGCCCAGACUCCUACGGGAGGCAGCAGUAGGGAAUCUUCGGCAAUGGACGGAAGUCUGACCGAGCAACGCCGCGUGAGUGAAGAAGGUUUUCGGAUCGUAAAGCUCUGUUGUAAGAGAAGAACGAGUGUGAGAGUGGAAAGUUCACACUGUGACG